rnacentral:rRNA from 1 species
CCCCUACGGGAGGCAGCAGUGAGGAAUAUUGGUCAAUGGGCGGGAGCCUGAACCAGCCAAGCCGCGUGAGGGAAGAAGGUACAGCGUAUCAUAAACUUCUUUUCUCAGGGACGAAGCAAGUGACGGUACCUGAGGAAUAAGCCACGGCUAACUACGUGCCAGCAGCCGCGGUAAUACGUAGGUGGCAAGCGUUAUCCGGAUUUACUGGGUGUAAAGGGCGUGUAGGCGGGAAAGCAAGUCAGAUGUGAAAACCAUGGGCUCAACCUGUGGCCUGCAUUUGAAACUGUUUUUCUUGAGUACUGGAG